rnacentral:rRNA from 1 species
AGGUGGUGCAUGGUUGUCGUCAGCUCGUGUCGUGAGAUGUUGGGUUAAGUCCCCGCAACGAGCGCAACCCUCGCCUCUAGUUGCCAGCAUUCGGUUGGGCACUCUAGAGGGACUGCCGGCGACAAGUCGGAGGAAGUGGGGAUGACGUCAAAUCAUCAUGCCCCUUAUGACCUGGGCUACACACGUGCUACAAUGGGCGGUACAAAGGGCUGCGAACCCGCGAGGGGGAGCGAAUCCCAAAAAGCCGCUCUCAGUUCGGAUUGCAGGCUGCAACUCGCCUGCAUGAAGCCGGAAUCGCUAGUAAUCGCGGAUCAGCAUGCCGCGGUGAAUACGUUCCCGGGCCUU